AGUCGUAACAAGGUAACCGUAGGUGAACCUGCGGUUGGAUCAUUAUUGAUUUUCUAUUGUGACUAGGCUUUUGUCUAUGAUCAAUACUAUCGGUUUCGUCUUUGCUAGGCAACUAGUAUUGACUGAGACCAACACCCUAUGUGAACUUGUUUUUACUAUGGGAAUCGGACAGUAGUAGGAAUUUUCCUAUGAAAGUCUGUUCCCUAUAUAAACGUUUACCAUAGUCUAUUGAGUAGUUGUUUUCCUAUAGAACCCUUAGGGAUUUGAUAGGGACAGCGAAAGAUACAUAGAGAAUACCAGAGAAAACCAUACUAAAAAGUAAACAACUUUUGACAACGGAUCUCUUGGCUCUCGCAUCGAUGAAGGCAGC
rnacentral:misc_RNA from 1 species